AAUAUAACUUUAUCGGAUUUAUCAUUGAACUAGCAUAAACAAGUUCGCAGAGAGGUCGAGAAGAAGAAACUGCUUUCAGCGAGAAGACAGAACUCACAAUGAAGCUCGUUGCUGUUCUUUGCCUUGUUUUCUGUUUGGUUUGUAUCAUCGUAGGUGAAGAGAGUUCCAGCGAUGCGCCUUUACGAGAAUGCAACGAUAGAGAAAAGGCCUUGAAAAAUUGCCCAGCUGGGAAGAAAUGUAUGGCUGUUAUUGGGAAGAGAAGAAGAAGUCGCCUUAUAUGUGUAACUCAGGGGAAGAGCGGCGAUCAGCCUGAGUAAACUAUUCCACGCGACGAGUCCCGUAAAUCAAAGGAAUAAAACGCUAAAUUGUUUAAAGACGUAAAUAAUUAAAGUGUUUUAGAAAUCA